GUUUUUAGCCGGGGAGGAGUGGCCGCGGCCGGGGAGGUCACUUGGCCGCUGAGCUGGUUGCUGUCACACGCGCCCAGCGCCCGGCUCCGCCAGCCCCUCUCCUGCGCGCACCCCGACGCACAGCUCACACUCGUGCUCUGAGACUGAGCCCAGGCUCUGCGGAGCAGCGACCAGCGAGCAAGCCCCUCCAUCCCCUAUCAGAGAGACCCCAUGGGCCCCAAGGCCACCUGCCCGUGCGGGGGCUCCCUGCCUCGCCUACAUGUGAGGACCUGGAUUGAGCCCGUGGUGGCCUCCACCCAGGUGGCCGGUUCCCUCUACGACGCGGGACUCCUCCUGGUGGUGAAGGCAUCCUUCGGGGCUGGGGCCGAAAACUCCUCCAACCACAGCACCAGCCCGUCGCCCCGGGAGGGUGUGGAGGACCAACAGCAGAAGGCUAUCUCCAAUUUCUACAUAAUCUACAACCUCGUGAUAGGCUUGACGCCCCUGCUGUCGGCCUACGGCUUGGGCUGGCUCAGUGACCGCUACCACCGCAAGAUCUCCGUCUGCGUGGCCCUGCUAGGCAUCCUGCUCAGCCGACUCGGGCUACUGUUCAAGGUGCUGUGGGACUGGCCCGUGGAGGUGAUGUACUGGGCGGCGGCGGUGAACGGGCUGUGCGGCGGCUUCUCGGCAUACUGGUCCGGGGUUAUAGCCCUGGGAUCCCUUGGCUCCUCUGAGGGCCGCCGCUCCGUCCGCCUCAUUUUUAUUGACCUGAUCAUGGGCUUGGGGGGAUUCUGCGGGAGCAUGGUCUCCGGGCACCUCUUCAAGCAGUUUCCUGGGCAAUCCAGGCAGGGCCUGGUGCUGACAGCCUGUAGCGUGAGCUGUGCCACUUUUGCCCUUUUCUACAGUCUCUUGGUCCUGAAGGUACCUGAGUCGGUGGCCACACCCAGCAAGGCACGCCCCACGGUGGAUACAGUGUCUGGCACGGUUGGCACAUAUCGCACCCUGGACCCUGAUCAGCCAGACAAGCAGAAUGUGGUGGAGCACCCUCUAUCUCCUGGGAAAGUAAAGCCCCAAAAAAUCAUUAUUGCCCUGCUCUUUGUGGGUGCCAUCAUCUACGACCUGGCAGUGGUGGGCACAGUGGAUGUGAUGCCCCUUUUUGUGCUCAGGAAGCCUCUCAGCUGGAACCAAGUGCAGGUGGGCUAUGGUAUGGCCGCAGGGUACAUGAUCUUCAUCACCAGUUUCCUGGGCGUCCUGGCCUUCUCCCGCUGCUUCCGGGACACCACCAUGAUCAUGAUUGGGAUGGUCUCCUUUGGGUCGGGAGCCCUCCUCCUGGCUUUUGCGAAAGAGACAUACAUGUUCUACAUUGGUGAGUCUGGCAUUCUUGGCGAGGCAGGACAAGGAUGGUGCUGGCCCCGAGUCAUACGGUUGACAGCAGGAAUGCUGUGGCCUACGAGUCCCAGCUUAGCACCAGGGAUUAGACCUGCUACUUAGGAGGUUCAAGGGAGACAGGGUAUGUGCACUUGAGUUUAUCUGUGUUGUACUGUGCUUUGUGUUGACUGUAUUGCCCAUUGAAAUGCUACCAGAGUGAUGGCCACAGCUCUAGGAGGUCGAGGGAGGGGUGGUCAGUGGUGCCUGGUGUUGGUUGAAGAGGCUUCAGGAUGGGGUUGGGUUUUUUUCUCCCCAAUUUUAAAAUAUGAAGUAACCCAACUGAAAAAGUCCCUUAAUUAAAAUCAUUUCAGGCCAACCAAAGGCUUUUUAAAAAUGAAUAAAAAUUCUCCAUAAAUGCCUUCCUCAACCCAUAUAACAAAUUUCCUUGAGGAAAAAGAAUGAAGAUUCUAUGUGAGGACACAACUCGGACAACCACAAGCAGAGAGCUCUAGACCAAUGCACCAAGAGAACUUUCAACAAUGAUAGAAGCAUUCUGUAUCUGUUUGGUCCAGUACAGUAGCCACUAGCCAUGUGUGGCUAUUGAGCACCUGAAAUGUGGCUGGUGCAACUAAAGAAUAGAAUUUUAAAUUUGAUUUCAUAUUAAUUUAAAUAGCCACACAUGGCAAGUAGCUAACAUAUUAGAAAGAACAAUUAGACAGUUACCAGAGGCUGUCCCCUUGAGGUCACACACCUCAGAAAAACAUCCAACAAAAUGGCAAGAUUACCUUUGGCCAGCUCCCAGUCAAACAGGCCAUAUGCAAAGGCCAGAGGACUCCUCUCCCCUUCACUUCUCACCACCUCUAACCCCCCGUCCCUCACAGACACGUCACAUUGGGAUGAUGAGUGGAGCCUGAGGCAAGGAGGGGUGUGUGGCAGCUGUGUAAGUGGAACACAUUUCUGGAUGCAGUUUUCCAAAGCCCCUGGAACUGUCUCGCAGUGGUGCUCGUGAAUUGCAAGGGCAGACACCUCUCUUGGGAGGCAAGGAGCGGCGUCUCGAGUCACUUCAGUGACAUCAACUCCACUUCCCUAGAAACCACCUAAACGGCCAAUGAAGACACCUUUCACCAUCUGUCAUUAUGUCAGCUGUGCCUUGUCACCUUGCAAAUGGGUCUGCAGCAUCUACAGCUCCGUCAGAGCUCAGGGAGUCAGCCUGCCCCAGGGAGGGCAUGAGUCUGCCAGCAGAGAAACCAUUUCUUCCAGGGAAAACCACAUAGGAGUAAUGGGGAGAGGAAAUUCUAACUCGAUCCAUCAUGCUAUUCGCUCUCAUCCCUGUCACAACCAUCCGAUCAGCAAUGUCCAAACUCAUAAAGGACUCCUCUUAUGG